GUACAGAGGCUAAGACUGCCGCAAGGAGAGCCUUAGGGCUCCGGGAAAGAGGAGGUGGGCGUCCAGCUGGUGGCAAAAAUUAGUAGGGGCAAGUUCAUGGCUGAUGAAGAGGACAGGUGGAACUCUGGAGGAAGUCGUGGUGAAAUCACCGGCAGGCUGAGACCCUUUGGGGGAAACGAAGGGCCGUCUUCCUUCCAAAGCCCUGUCUGCAAACGUCCUCAGAGUUGUGAGACGUUGAUUACCAGACCCAGAGAGAACCAUCUGUGCUGAAAAACUGAGACCAACCGAGAGGAAGGAAUUCAUUCAGGGUCAUGCACCGAGUGAGAAAAGGGGCUCGGCUUGGAAUCCAGGUCCCCUAGACAUGAUUUUAGAGAAACGUUUUAUUUGGAAAAGUUGCAAGAAUAGGGCAAAAGAACGCACGUUAAACUUUGGCUCAGAUUCACCUAUUGUUAACAAUUUGCUUCAUUUGUUUUAUCAUUUGUUUCUUACCUCUCCCCUCCUCCUCCCUGCCGCCACUCCGCCGCCCCACCUCCGUGUGCGUGUGUGUUUAUUUUCUUGUUUUUGUUUUGUUUUGUUGUUUGUUUUUGAGAUGGAGUUUCGCUUUUGUUGCCCAGGCUGGAGUGCAGUGGCGCGAUCUCGGCUCACCGCAACCUCCGCCUCCCGGGUUCAAGCGAUUCUCCUGCCUCACCCUCCCAGAAUAGCUGAGAUUACAGGCAUGCACCACCACACCCGGCUAAUUUUUUAUUUUUGUAGAGACGGGGUUUCUCCAUGUUGGUCAGGCUGGUCUCGAACUCCCGACCUAGGUGAUCCACCCGCCUCGGCCUCCCAAAGUGGUGGGAUUACAGGCAUGAGCCACCGCGCUCAGCUCUCAUUCUAGUUUUUACCUCUAUAAGAUCAACUCUUUUAGCCCCCACAUAGGAAUAAGAACGUGAGGGCUGGGCGUGGUGGUCACGCCUGUAAUCCCAGCACUUCGGGAGGCCAAGGACAGAGGAUUGCUUUAGCCUAGGAGUUUGAGACUAGCCUGGGCAACAAAUUGAAACCCUGUCUCUACAAAAAUAAAAAUAAAAAGUACCUGGAUGUGGUGGCAUGUACCUGUAGUUCCACCUAUUCGGGAGCCAAGGUGGGAGGAUUGCUUGAGCCUGGGAGGUCAAGGUUGCAGUGAGCUGUGACUGUGCCACUGCACUGCAGCCUGGGUGACAGAGCGAGACCUUGUCUCAAAAAAAAAAAAAAAAAAAAAAAAAGUAUGGUCAUUUUUAACAAUAUUAAUUCUUCCAAUCCACCAAUCCAUGAACACGAGAUGUCUUUCCAUUUGUUUGUGUCCUCUUCAGUUUCUUUCAUCAGUGUUUUGUAGUUUUUAUUGUAGAGGUCUUUUUCCUCCUUGAUUAAAUUUUUUCCUAGGUAGUAGGGUUGCUUUCUUGAUUUCUCUUUCAGCUAAUUCCUUAUUGGUGUACAGAAAUGCUAGUUUUUGUAUAAUGAUUUUUUAUCCUGCAACUUUACUGAAUGUAUCAGUUAUAAGAGAUUUUUGGUGAAAUCUUUAGAUUUUUCUAUAUACUAGGUAUCAUGUCAUCUUCAAAGGGGGCAAUUUGAUUUUUUUUUUUUUUAAGACUACUCAAGUGCAGUAGUGAGAAGUGGGGAAAGAGUAGAACAAGGAGUUCAAUCUGUAACUUACUGUGAGAUUGAGAUAACUCACUACAUUCGCACUGGCCUGACUUCCUUUUUUCCAAUUUGGAUGCCUUUUAUUUCUUUCUCUUGCCUGGUUGCUCUGGCUAAGACUUCAGUACUAUGUGGAUUAAGAGUGAUGAAAGUGGGCCGGGCGCGGUGGCUCACGCCUGUAAUCCCAGCACUUUGAGGCCAAGGUGGGCGGAUCUCCUGAGGUCGGGAGUUCAAGACCAGCCUGACCAACAUGGAGAAACCCCGUUUCUACUAAAAGUACAAAAAAAAUUAGCCGGGCAUGGUGGCGCAUGCCUGUAAUCCCAUCUACUCGGGAGGCUGAGAUAGGAGAAAUGCUUGAAUCCGAGAGGCAGAAGUUACCGUGAGCCGAGAUCACGCCAUUGCACCCCAGCCUGGGCAACAAGAGCACAACUCCAUCUCAAAUAAAUAAAUAAAUAAAUAAAUAAGUAAUGAAAGUGGGCAUCUUUGCCUUCUUCUAGUUCUUAGAAGAAAGGCAUUCCUCUAUUCCCCCAUUCAAUAUGAUGAUAGCUGUGGGUUUGUCAUUUAUGGAGUUUAUUAUGUUGAGAUAUGUUUCUUCUAUGCCUAAUUUGUUGAGAAUAUUUAUCACGAAGGAUGUUUAAUUUUAUCAAGUGCUUUUUCUGCAUCUAUUGAGAUGAUCAUAUGGUUUUUGUCCUUCAUUCUGCUGAUGUGAUGUAUCCGCGGUUAUUGAUUUAUGUAUGUUGAACCGUCUUUGCAUUUCUGGAAUAAAUCCCACUUGAUCAUGGUGUAUUAUCCUUUUGAUGUGCUGUUGGAUUUUGUUUACUAGUAUUUAGUUGAGGAUUUUUGCAUCGAUGUUCAUCAAGGAUAUUGGCCUGCUGUUUUCUUUUUUUGUUGUGUUUUUGUCUGAUUUUGGUGUCAGGGUAAUUCUGGCCUUAUAGAAUGAGUUAGGAAGAAUUUCUUCCUCUUCAGUUUUUUUGGAAUAGUUUGAGAAAAUUGGUAUUAUUUCUUCUUUAUAAGUUUGGUAGAAUUUAGCAGUGAAGCCAUCUGUUCCUGGGCUUUUCUGUUUUGGGAGACUUUUUAUCACUAAUUCAAUUUCAUCACUCGUCAUGGGUCUUUUCAAGUUUUCUGUUUCUUCCUGGUUCAAUAUUUGUAGGUUGUAUGUGUCCAGUUAUCCAUUUUCUCUAGGUUUUCCAAUUUUUUCAUGUGUAGUUGUUCAUAAUAGUCUCUGAUGAAUUAUUGUAUGUCUCUGGAAACAGUUGUAAUGUCUCAUUUUUUAUUUCUGAUUUUAUUUAUUUGGGUCUCCUCUCUUUUCUUCUUGUUGAGUCUAACUAGCAGUUUAUUGAUUUUGUUUAUCCAUUGAAACAAACAAUGUCUAAUUUCAUUGAUUAAAUUUUUUUCACUCUCUGUUUUGUUUUGCUAUGCUGUAAUCGUUAUUAUUCUUUUCCUUCUCCUAAUUUUGGGUUUGGUUUGUUCUUGCUUUUCUAGUUCCUUGCGGAGCAUUGUUAGGUUGUUUAUUUGAAAACUUUCUAGUUUUUUGAUGUAGGUGCUUAUUGCUAUCAAUGUCUGUCUUAGCACUGCUUCUGUUGUAUCCUAUAUAUUUUGGUAUGUUGUGUUUCCAUUUUCUUUUCUUUUCUUUUUUCUUUUUUUUUUUGAGAUGGAGUUUUGCUCUUGCUGCCCAGGCUUGAGUACAAUGGCGUGAUCUUGGCUCACCGCAACCUCCGCCUCCCGGGUUCAAGCCAUUCUCCUGCCUCAGCCUCCUGAGUAGCUGUGAUUACAGGCAUGCACCACCAUGCCUGGCUAAUUUUGUAUUUUUAGUAGAGACAGGGUUCCUCCAUGUUGGUCAGGCUGGUCUCAAACUCCCAGUCUCAGGUGAUCCGCCCACUUCAGCCUCCCAAAGUACUGAGAUUACAGGCAUGAGCCA
rnacentral:lncRNA from 1 species